rnacentral:rRNA from 1 species
AUUGAACGCUGGCGGAAUGCUUUACACAUGCAAGUCGAACGGCAGCACGGGGGCAUCCCUGGUGGCGAGUGGCGAACGGGUGAGUAAUACAUCGGAACGUGCCCGGUCGUGGGGGAUAACGUAGCGAAAGUUACGCUAAUACCGCAUACGAUCUGAGGAUGAAAGCGGGGGACCUUCGGGCCUCGCGCGAUCGGAGCGGCCGAUGUCAGAUUAGGUAGUUGGUGGGGUAAAGGCCUACCAAGCCGACGAUCUGUAGCUGGUCUGAGAGGACGCCCAGCCACACGGGGACUGGGACACGGCCCAGACUCCUACGGGAGGCAGCAGUGGGGAAUUUUGGACAAUGGGCGCAAGCCUGAUCCAGCCAUUCCGCGUGCAGGACGAAGGCCUUCGGGUUGUAAACUGCUUUUGUAUGGAACGAAAAGGCUCUGGCUAAUACCUGGGGCUCAUGACGGUACCGUAAGAAUAAGCACCGGCUAACUACGUG